rnacentral:hammerhead_ribozyme from 1 species
AUCCAGAUGACGAGCCCCAAAUAGGACGAAAUGCAGCAUCCUGGAU